AUUUCGUUCAUUAACGUAACUUAUAAUUUUAUUUUUAUUUUCAGCUUCUUUUGUAUAAUAACUUUUUUUUUUUUAAGAAAUAAGUAGCAUGCUACCCGCUUGGUUUAUUUCAUUUAGAAAUAAACUUAGUUGGAAAUGUGAAUCAACUAGUAUUCGAACUUGGGUCUCGAAUACCAACCACCAAGUUCUUUGCCGUUUGCUCUAGGGAUGGUUGGUACAGUAUAAGCUCUUUAGAUCCUUCAUUCUACUGAAUAUUCAAUUAAAAAAUAAAAGUAAAAACCUCUUACUGAAAUUACAAAAUAAAU
rnacentral:lncRNA from 1 species